UGCCGAUUGGCCCAGUGGUGAAGGCGUCCGACUGUUAAUUUCUCACAGAGAAAAUCGGAAGAUCGUGAGUUCGACCCUCACAUUGGCAG